UGUGGCUGGCUACGUGUGGGGAUGCUGCGGAUUGCUGCGCCUUGCCAGUAAAAUCCACCACAAAACCUGGACUGGAGUCGAGUCUGCAGCUCAGGACCAGGACCAGAGCCACAGAUGGUCCUUUGCACAUGUUUUCUUCCCAUUGGUCCGGGGUCUCAGGCUGACAGUGCUGCAGCCCUGCAGGUACAACAUAUAAGGGCGCUCUCUGCCUGCACCAGGUUCCACCUCAGGCCCUGCACACUGAAGAGAGUAAACCUACACAGCACAAGAAGAGGAGCAUCUCUCCAUGAAUGCUGCACACCUUCAGUCACUGCAGGACAGGACAUGGCAUGCCCUAAAAUUGGAAAAUAAGUGUCAACAUAAUAGACUUUGAUGAAGUCUGGCAACAAACAGAACCACAAAUACAUGUCCUGCAUCAUCACGUGUACGCUGCACACCUGCCACUUUCAUCAGAUGGACAGAAUUCACAUCAUCCCAGCAAAUACUGUUUUAUGUGACAGGAGAGACAUUAUCAAUGUUUUUUUUUUUGGUCCUGGGUUAGCACCACAAGUCAAGUGCCAUCUUGUUUGAUUAUAUUUGUGAGAAGGCAGACAUCUCUACGGCCAAUAUCUCCAACACUCGGCAACUCACAUCAAACUACAGUGCCCCAAACUACAUCAGGGAACUUGUCUAGGAUGUUUCAGAGGCACUUGUCCAAGACUCCAUUUAUUGAUACCUCCAGUCCUUUUCUUCCUCUGUACUGACAAGACAAGUUGCUGCUUCUCUGAGUCUUGGAGAGAUGCUCAAGCAAGACCAAGAUGGUGCCAAUCUGCAGAGUGGGACUGUCUCUUGAAACUGGCUGUCCUUUUGCGGUCAAAAAGCCUUGGCUA